rnacentral:rRNA from 1 species
UACGUAUGGGGCAAGCGUUAUCCGGAUUUACUGGGUGUAAAGGGAGCGUAGACGGCUUGGCAAGUCUGAAGUGAAAUGCCGGGGCUUAACCCCGGAACUGCUUUGGAAACUGUCAGGCUUGAGUGCCGGAGGGGUAAGCGGAAUUCCUGGUGUAGCGGUGAAAUGCGUAGAUAUCAGGAGGAACACCGGUGGCGAAGGCGGCUUACUGGACGGCAACUGACGUUAAGGCUCGAAAGCGUGGGGAG